CCCCAAGAAGGUCGACUUGGAGGUUGUGCCCUUGAGGCGUGGCUUCCGGAGCUAACGCGUUAAGUCGACCGCCUGGGGAGUACGGCCGCAAGGUUAAAACUCAAAUGAAUUGACGGGGGCCCGCACAAGCGGUGGAGCAUGUGGUUUAAUUCGAUGCAACGCGAAGAACCUUACCUGGUCUUGACAUCCACAGAACCUUGUAGAGAUACAAGGGUGCCUUCGGGAACUGUGAGACAGGUGCUGCAUGGCUGUCGUCAGCUCGUGUUGUGAAAUGUUGGGUUAAGUCCCGCAACGAGCGCAACCCUUAUCCUUUGUUGCCAGCGGUCCGGCCGGGAACUCAAAGGAGACUGCCAGUGAUAAACUGGAGGAAGGUGGGGAUGACGUCAAGUCAUCAUGGCCCUUACGACCAGGGCUACACACGUGCUACAAUGGCGCAUACAAAGAGAAGCGACCUCGCGAGAGCAAGCGGACCUCAUAAAGUGCGUCGUAGUCCGGAUUGGAGUCUGCAACUCGACUCCAUGAAGUCGGAAUCGCUAGUAAUCGUGGAUCAGAAUGCCACGGUGAAUACGUUCCCGGGCCUUGUACACACCGCCCGUCACACCAUGGGAGUGGGUUGCAAAAGAAGUAGGUAGCUUAACCUUCGGGAGGGCGCUUACCACUUUGUGAUUCAUGACUGGGGUGAAGUCGUACAGGGAAAACCCGUAAAAGGAGGGCCGCCCCCGGGGGACGGGAACGGGCCGGAGGGGGCCCCCAAGGCGAGGCAAAGGGGGCCGUACAUGGGGGCCU
rnacentral:rRNA from 1 species